AAUCAACGCUGGCGGCGUGCCUAACACAUGCAAGUCGAACGAGAAAGUGACUUCGGUCACUGGACAGUGGCGUCCGGGUGAGUAACACGUGGGUAAUCUACCUUCGGGUGGGGAAUAACGUCUCGAAAGAGACGCUAAUACCGCAUAAUGCAGCGGCACCUUAUGGUGAAUAGUUGUUAAAGCGGGGGAUCGCAAGACCUCGCGCCUGAAGAGGAGCCUGCGGCAGAUAGCUAGUUGGUGAGGUAAUGGCUCACCAAGGCUGCGAUCUGUAGCUGGUCUGAGAGGACGGCCAGCCACACUGGCACUGACACACGGGCCAGACUCCUACGGGAGGCAGCAGUGGGGAAUUUUGGGCAAUGGGCGCAAGCCUGACCCA
rnacentral:rRNA from 1 species